GACGAACGCUGGCGGCGUGCUUAACACAUGCAAGUCGAACGGAGUGGCGAACGGGUGAGUAACACGUGGGUGCCCUGCCCUGCACUUCGGGAUAAGCCUGGGAAACUGGGUCUAAUACCGGAUAGUGUGGGAUGGGCCCGGGGCCUAUCAGCUUGUUGGUGGGGUAAUGGCCUACCAAGGCGGCGACGGGUAGCCGGCCUGAGAGGGUGGACGGCCACAGUGGGACUGAGACACGACCCAGAGGCCUACGGGGGGAAGCGGGGGGGAAUAUUGCAAAAUGGGCGGAAGGAUGAUGCAGCGACGCCGCGUGGGGGAGGACGGCCUUCGGGUUGUAAACACCUUUCACCAUCGACGCGGUAGAUGGAGAAGAAGCACCGGCUAACUACGUGCCAGCAGCCGCGGUAAUUC
rnacentral:rRNA from 1 species